GAUGAACGCUGGCGGCGUGCUUAACACAUGCAAGUCGAACGAUGAAGCACAGAUUGCUGGGUGUAAUAGUGGCCAAGGGGCGGGUAAGAGGUGAGUAACCUGCACUUAACUCUGGGAUAAGCGUGGGCAAAGGGAACCAAUAGCGGAUAGGAGCGUCGACCGACGGGUGGGAGUUGGAAAGCUUCAGCGGUUUUGGAUGGGCACGCGGCCUAUCAGCUUGUUGGUGAGGUAGGGGCACACCAAGGCGACGACGGGUAGCCGGCCUGAGAGGGUGACCGGCCACCCGGGGACUGCGACACGGCGCAGUCUCCAACGGUAGGCAGCAGUGGCGAAUAUUGUCCAAUGGGCGCGCGCCUGAUGCAGCGGCGCCGCGUUUGUGAUGACGUCCUUCUGGUUGUAAACCUCUUUCAGUAGGGAAGAAGCGAAAGUGACGGUACCUGCAGAAGAAGCACCGGCUAACUACGUG
rnacentral:rRNA from 1 species